rnacentral:rRNA from 1 species
AAGGUGAAAAGAACCCCGGGAGGGGAGUGAAAUAGAACCUGAAACCCUGCACUUACAAGCUGUGGAAGCACAUUUCUUGUGUGACCGCGUACUUUUUGUAGAACGGGCCAACGAGUUACGUUAAGUAGCAAGGUUAAGCCCUUAAGGUGCGGAGCCGUAGCGAAAGCGAGUUUUAACUGAGCGUUCAGUUACUUGACGUAGACCCGAAACCGGGCGACCUACCCAUGAGCAGGAUGAAGCGAAAGUAAAAUUUCGUGGAGGUCCGAACCCACGAGCGU